rnacentral:SRP_RNA from 1 species
AGGCGGGCCCUGUGCAACGGGCCGCUGCGAACCAUGUCAGGCGGGGAACCGAGCAGCAUUAAGCGGAUGUGCCGGUGUGCCGCAGACCUCCUGCCUUUC